CUCUGCAUAAAUACAACAAAACUUUGCAUCAAAAACAUAUUUAAAGAUUUAAUUGACAUGCAACGGAGUGUAAUCACUAUAAAUAUUUGAUUGUUUGUGAAAGUGUCAGUUCAGUGAUAAGAAUUUGACUUUAUAGUUUUAAGGGAAGAAAUUUAAAACAUACCUCCUAUACAAAAUGGGAACAAUUCCAGCUCUGUAUUUGGCAAUAGUCUGAAAGGCAGGUUGAGACAUAUCAAAGUGAGGUCUAGGGGGAUUACACCAACCACCAUUGUCAUUAGGGAGUGCAAAGUUUGGUGGACAAAAAUUUGUGGCAGUAAUAGUGAUGGAAGUGCCUCUGAGACACCAUUGAGGAACUUGCCUUGCAUCACAAACUAUCUGAUAGCAACCACCACAUGACUUCCCAUCAUUAAACAAAGCAGUACUCAAUGCAGCUGAUUUUAUACCAUAUCCAUCUGUGUACAGAUUUCCAUAACCACAUGCACCACCUACAAGUUAAUCAAAAUUAAGUUAUAUACUUAACUAUUUGAUUAUAACACUUGAAUAAAGUUAAUCAAAAGAAGAAGCAAUUUACCCAUUGUUCCUGAGGCAUCACUUCCACCAUAGAAAGUUGCAUGAGCUGACUGCCAAACAGCCAGAUUCUACUCUGAGUUCUGUAGUGACCAUAUUCAUUAACAAUAUAAGAACACAUAUAAUUAAUUUUUCCAUUCUCUUAAUUUCUCUUUCUCUCUAGUUCUCUGAAAAAUCAAAUAGGGAAUUGCUCUAAUUUUUUUUUGUAAAUAUGACAGACUCUCUUGAGAAUUUAUAGUACAGUUAGGGGGUUUUAGCCCAUAGAAACAAACUAACUGAAUUCAAUAAAUUAUUGGGAAAAUAAGUGUUGACCAAAAAUUUAUUCUCCAGUUGUAAAUAUACUAUUGUGUAUAUAACAUGCAUUUUGCAAAUAGGCAAGGCCGGUCAUUAAGGAGACUGGAAUAAAAUAUAUUUGAUGAUAAAAAAAUUCUUAUUUCAAUUUGAUAGUCUGUAGGAUCCGUGGUACGUUAGUUGAGCUAUCAGUACAUGCAAUAACUAAUAAUUAAUAAUAAUGGUAUAUAUAUUCAUAGUCAAAAAAAUAUAGUAUAUGUAUUCACGAUUUAUAAAUAUUUUAAGUUAUACGUUACUUGAUUGAUAGGCUAUCAAACCAACUGUUAGAAGGUAUACUGAUCCGUACUUUUAAUUGUUUGUAUUUCUUGUAUGAGAAGUCAAUUCGUACACUCAUGAUAAGGACGUAAAUUAUGGGUAUAGUGCAUAAAUAUUUGAUUUAUUUAAUGGUAGUAGUAACAUGCAACUACCUAACUUGCCUGCUGUGACCUAUAAUGUUCAUCAGAAAUAUGAAGAAACAGAAUUAUUUAAGCUCUCACAAGUAGUCACCAAAGAAUGGUUUGGUACACAUUAGAAAGUCAAAUAUAAAGAUGCUGAAUUGAAGUGUGGGACGUUAUGCCAUAUUGCCAUGUAUUAUGCCAUCUCUUUUGGAACUGCAUACACAUGGCUGAUGUCAAACCCCUCCAUGUACAAUAACUGUUUCACACCAGGCCAGCCUGAGUUCGUUGUUCAAAAGGAACUGCAUAUAUUAAAAAAUUUAGAUUGAGUAAGAGACGGUUUGAAAAUUUGUUCAUGAGUGGGGUGAUCAUCUUCUUACAAGCUGGUUUAGUGAAAUUGUGUUAGACUCAACGACAAAUUUGAAGAUGAUAUUAGAGCAUGAAUUGGAUGAGAGAUUGUCGGGCAAUAUGUUUAUACGUUGGUGCAAUUGUGACCCGAGUCACACAUUAGAUGAAAGAUGGUCCCACAUUAUAACAAUGUAUUAUCUAUUAAAUUAAAGAGAAAUGCUAUGAACACUCUCUCUAACACUCAUUCUUCUAUUGGGUGAAACCCACGUGGGUCUCACCACUUUACGUGGGAUCCAUUCUCAAUGUGUCAUACCCACAUGAAUUUCGCCCAAUAAGAAAGGGAGUGUUAGAGAGAGUGUUCAUAACAUUGCUCUAAAUUAAAAGUCCAAUACCUCAUGUGGUCCUUUAAAGUAAGAUGUUUGUAACAAAUUAGUCCUUUAAUUUUCUUUUUUAACAAAUUAGUUCUUUAAUUUAUUUAUUUUCUUAAACAAAUUGGUUCUUUAAGUCAUAAAAUAUUUACAUUGUUACCAUUUUUCAUCCAACUUAGUUAAUUAAAUCGUACUUAUGUUUUGACAUUGAAGUGUGAAAGCCCCAAAAAUUACUAAUGACAUCAAAUUUGAUUACUUACGUUCAUUUUGUCUUUCUUGUUUCCGAAUUCAAACAUAAUUUUACUGACCAACGUUAACGUUUAAUGAACAAAAUUAGAAAUUAAGUAAUUGAUCAAUUUUGUUUUAAAUUAAGAUUGAAUACUACACCUGUAAAUCAAAAUUUUGAGAGCACUGAACUUGAACCUACCAACUGAGCAUUAAACAUCCAUGCACAAGUUUCAAUCGAGUUUGAUGAAAAUUGGAUAAUGGUGAAAACCUUAUGAUUUAAAAGGACUAAUUUAUUGUAGAAAAAAAAAAAAAAACUUGACUAACAUUACAAACAUCUAACAUAAAAGACCGUCAUAGUAUUUUGCCUAAAUUAAAACUCCAUAUUUCAACCGAUGAUGCCUUCUAAAAGAAAAAGUGAUAUCGCAAAAGUUUUUUCUUUUAUGACAAUAAACUCUAUUUGCGACAAAUUUUAGUAUUCAGGAUAUAUUCCAUUAAUAGUUUUGGUUUCUAAAAAUCAAAAUAAAUUGAGGACUUUUCGUACUCUAUUAUGAGUCCACGUGAGUUUAGUUCAGUUGGUAAAAAAAAAUGCAUAAUAUAUACAAAUUCCAGGUUCAAACCCCAGUCAUCACAAAAAAAAAAAAAAAUAUAUAUAUAUAUAUAUAUACACAAUGAUAGAAUGAUAAACUGAAGCACUAUUUCAAAAUUGUAUAAAGAUUCUAAUAAUAAAAUAUUUUAUUCAUCAAAAAAGAAUCUAGGAGUCGAAUCAUUCAAUCCAUCUCGAUUCAAUUCAUUAAGUACUUGUUGUUAAGUGGGUUAAAUAAAAUGUUUUAUGUACAUCCAAUUAUUCCAACACUUACAACAUAUGAUUUACAUAUAAAAUAUUAGGUAUGUGAGUCGUCUUUCUUAUUAUCAUACAUUUCUGUGUUCGAUAAACGAUAAGAGAUUUAUUGUAUCAAUUAACGAUUAUAUACAUGCUAAGAGAUUUUGAUGCUGUGAAGAACUUUUAGAAUGGGAUUUAAUUCGGAUAAAUGGAGCAAAUUUUUUACUUUGGAUAUAUGCAUUGUUGGUUGGAUUGGAAUGUUUUCAACAAUGAUAGAGGUACGUUCAAGUUCAAUGGACUUUAUUUUUUAUCUAGUGGUGUACGAGAUUUGGAAAGAUGAGAAUAAUAAUGUGUUAUCUUGUUCAUCAUCCUCCAUGGGAAAUCUUUUAUUAUUUUGAAUCAUCGAUCAAGCUUGAUCCAUUGAUAUGGUUCUUCUUUAGAAAAAACCUCAUCAACGUCUAACUAAUCAUAAAGCCGUGAUUUCCUGAUUUAAAGUACGACUUAGAUUUUGUUUGCGAGUUUGGAGGAGAAGGAAAAGAAGGGGUUUGAAAGGAGAAAAAAAAAAAGUAAAGAGCAAGUAGAAGAAAUAUAUGAUACCGAGAGGGGAAAACUUUGGGAUUUCAUUUUUCUUACUAAUACAAAACUAUCCUGAUUUGGGGAAAUUCAAAAAUUAUAUUGGAUGAGGGUUUUGGAGGGUUUAGACGAAUUCUUCAAAUUUAAUCUAAGUAGUUAUAAUAUUUUUAAAAUUUAAAAUAUAUUAAUCAUAAACAUUAAUUUAUCAUUCUCUAAAAAAUUACUCUUUCACAAAAUGUGAAAAUUUUUACGAUCUUCCACUAUAUUUCCAACCCUCCAAAGCCUUCCCUUCCCCUCCCCUCCCCUCCAAACUCCCAAACAAAACUUUAGAUUUAGUCCUCCCUCCAGAUUCAUUAAAUUGGCUCUUUUUGUUAUUUAGGCUCUUAGACUUGGCAUAAAGGUUGCCAAGCUUCAAAGAUUAUGUGAUGGUGGUCAAUAUCAUGAAUCAUUUAAGGUCAUCUUCAGUUUUGUAUCUUCAACCUCUUGAUCUCCACUCUCGGGAAACUUAAGUUGCUCAUGACUUCAAAGAGGCAAUUUGUGCGGAUUGCCUUGCAUAUCGUUGAAAAGUGCCUUUUAUAUAUAUAUAUAUAUAUAUAUAUAUUAGUAUUCUAUCAUUUUACGUUUUGGAAGAAGAUUUUGCAUCCUUGAGCAGGAAGAUCUACUAGAGGCAUUUUUUGGAGUUGUUGUUUUACGCUCAGGUGUAGGCCGUUUGCGCCCAGUUCUAUAAAAAUGUAGUUUCAGCACAAUUUGAGAGGGAAGUGUGAACAAACUAGGGUUAAUCAAUUCUUAGGAGAUCAAAGGUUAAGAAUUGUGUACUUUUAAGGGCAUAAUCUAAACACCCUAGUGAGUAAAAUCAUUUAGUAUCUUGAUAAAGGGAAGAGAUUAAGCAAAAUGGUACAAAUUAGUGUUUGUUCUUAGAGAGUUUGUUGAAUGUAAAUUUCUUGUAACCCUCUUAUCUCUUUGAUAGUGGAUUGAAGAGAUCUCUCUUUUUAAGACGUAGGUUAAAUUUAAGUCGAAUUAGGUGAACAAAUAUCAUUUUGUUUUUUCUUUUCCUUUAUCUUAUUGUUUGUGUUUUGUUUAAUCACUUUGGUCUAAUUGCUGCUAAUUUAUUUUCACAUAUAAAAAUGUUGAUGCUGAAUUCACAACACAAGUUACGGUCAUUCAAACUCUUCUUUCUAUCCGGUUUUAGUACAUGAUAUUUUUCCUUGUUGAAGUAAUAUAGUAUAAGCUAACAAUGUAAGACAUAUUGUGUUGCAUUGAUUUCGUAAUUUAAUUUACUUCACAUAAAAUAGAAAUUAAAUAUAUGCUUUGGUUCACCUACACAUUACAAAUAUUAUACCAAAGUUGGUGGGCCUCAUUGCAAAUACUAAUAUAUAUUGCUGAGCCACAAACAACUGCCAUAUGGAACAAUUCCUUAGACAAAUGAACGCAAGUACCAUAUAGCUGUUACAUAAUAAAGAACUGAAAUAGAAGAAUGCACAAUAAUAGAAGUGAUUCAUAUCAUAACUCAUAUGUGCUCAGAAUCAGAACUGAACGUUACUUUUGUAAGACUGGCCAAAUCUCCAGUUGGAAGGUGCAACAUUAAUAGCUGUACGAGUCUUCCCAUUUUUGAGUUGAAUUCUAAAUGAUAAGCUUUGACCAUUGAGAUAGCUUAGGCUUUGCCAAUUAGCACCCCAAUUCAUUGACAUUGGUUCCCAUUUAUUCUUUUUUGAUCCUUUUAUCCAAACUUUUGAAAUCUCUCCACCUCCCCCUACGUUACUUAUAAGAACCAACUCAAAAUAGUCUCUCCCAUUUAUAGUAAAUCUUAUGUUUCCACUUCUUUUGCACCCAACUCUGCAUAAAUACAACAAAACUUUGCAUCAAAAACAUAUUUAAAGAUUUAAUUGACAUGCAACGGAGUGUAAUCACUAUAAAUAUUUGAUUGUUUGUGAAAGUGUCAGUUCAGUGAUAAGAAUUUGACUUUAUAGUUUUAAGGGAAGAAAUUUAAAACAUACCUCCUAUACAAAAUGGGAACAAUUCCAGCUCUGUAUUUGGCAAUAGUCUGAAAGGCAGGUUGAGACAUAUCAAAGUGAGGUCUAGGGGGAUUACACCAACCACCAUUGUCAUUAGGGAGUGCAAAGUUUGGUGGACAAAAAUUUGUGGCAGUAAUAGUGAUGGAAGUGCCUCUGAGACACCAUUGAGGAACUUGCCUUGCAU
rnacentral:lncRNA from 1 species